AUAUUGAACUAGAUGCUAACCUUUAAAAGUUACAAAUGUAUCCAGUAUGUCCAUGGGAUGAGGAAAUGAUUAAAGAUCAAUUAGAUAUUACCAUGUUGCAGCCACAAUGAAGGAAAAUUUCAAAGAUAUGCUGAUCUGAGAAUAGGAUAAAAUUUGGAAUCAAAGGAUCUGCAGAUUAAUCAUGUACCCUAGCUGAGCUUGCAUACAUGACGGAGUUCUGAUGUUGGCACUCAUUUAAAGGAAA